rnacentral:rRNA from 1 species
UACAGAGGAUCCGAGCGUUAUCCGGAUUUAUUGGGUUUAAAGGGUGCGUAGGCGGCCUAUUAAGUCAGGGGUGAAAGACGGUAGCUUAACUAUCGCAGUGCCUUUGAUACUGAUAGGCUUGAAUGUACUUGAGGUAGGCGGAAUGUGACAAGUAGCGGUGAAAUGCAUAGAUAUGUCACAGAACACCAAUUGCGAAGGCAGCUUACUAAAGUAUGAUUGACGCUGAGGCACGAAAGCGUGGGGAUCAAACAGG